rnacentral:rRNA from 1 species
AUUGAACGCUGGCGGAAUGCUUUACACAUGCAAGUCGAACGGCAGCACGGGAGCUUGCUCCUGGUGGCGAGUGGCGAACGGGUGAGUAAUAUAUCGGAACGUAUCCAAUAAUGGGGGAUAACUAAUCGAAAGGUUGGCUAAUACCGCAUACGCCCUGAGGGGGAAAGCUGGGGAUCGUAAGACCUAGCGUUAAUGGAGCGGCCGAUAUCGGAUUAGCUAGUUGGUGGGGUAAAGGCCUACCAAGGCGACGAUCCGUAGCUGGUCUGAGAGGACGACCAGCCCCACUGGAACUGAGACACGGUCCAGACUCCUACGGGAGGCGGCAGUGGGGAAUUUUGGACAAUGGGCGCAAGCCUGAUCCAGCCAUUCCGCGUGAGUGAAGAAGGCCUUCGGGUUGUAAAGCUCUUUCGCAAGGGAAGAAACGUUACGAGCGAAUAACUCGUGAUAAUGACGGUACCUUGAUAAGAAGCACCGGCUAACUACGUGCCAGCCGCCGCCGUAAAAC